CAGUACCGUGAGGGAAAGGUGAAAAGCACCCCGGGAGGGGAGUGAAACAGUACCUGAAACCGUGCGCCCACGAGCAGUCGGAGCACCCUUGUGGUGUGACGGCGUGCCUUUUGUAGAAUGAGCCAGCGAGUCGCUGGCGCGGGGCGAGGUUAACCGAAAGGGAGCCGGAGCGAAAGCGAGCCUUAACAGGGCGACUUGAGUCCCGCGCCGCGGACGCGAAGCCGGGUGAGCUAUCCGUGGGCAGGCUGAAGCGGGGGUAAGACCCCGUGGAGGGCCGAACGCACGUCGGUUGAAAACGGCGGCGAUGACCUGCGGAUAGGGGUGAAAGGCCAAUCAAACCCGGAGAUAUCUCGUUCUCCCCGAAAUAGCUUUAGGGCUAGCGUCGCGCGUUCACCGCCGGAGGUAGAGCACCGGAUGGACGAGGGGGCUUCGCCGCCUACCGAAUCCAACCGAACUCCGAAUGCCGGCGGCCCAGAGCGCGGCAGUCAGAGCAUGUGGGCUAAGCUGUGUGCUCGAGAGGGAAACAGCCCGGACCGCCCGCUAAGGUCCCCAAGUUCCAGCCGAGUGGCAAAGGAUGUGCGUCCGCCCAGACAACCAGGAUGUUGGCUUAGAAGCAGCCAUGCAUUCAAAGAGUGCGUAACAGCUCACUGGUCGAGUGGACAUGCGCCGACAAUACACGGGGCUAAGCUGGACACCGAAGCGGCGGGAUUUUGAUUUUCAGAAUCGGUAGGGGAGCUUCCCAUGGGCGGUGAAGCCGCCGGGCGACCGGCGGUGGAGCGCAUGGGAGUGAGAAUGCUGGCAUGAGUAGCGAGAGACGAGAGAGUAACUCGUCCGCCGUGAACCCGAGGUUUCCUGGGCAAGGCUAAUCCUCCCAGGGUCAGUCGGGGGCUAAGGCGAGGCCGGGAGGCGUAGCCGACGCGCAGCAGGCAGACAUUCCUGCACCGCGCACGCGGCGCUACGACCGACGGGGCGACGGAUGGGGGUGGCUCGGCGGGGUUCUGGACGUCCCCGUGAUGGAGCGCGGCCCGCGGACCAGGGAAAUCCGGUCCGCACGAGGGCGAGGCUCCGGACGAAGCGAUCAAGCGAAGCGAGUGAGCCCGAGGUCCCUAGAAAAACCCCUAGGCAGGCGCGUGCGCGCCCGUACCGCAAACCGACACAGGUGGGUGGGUAGAACAUACCGAGGCGAUCGGGUCAACCAUGGUCAAGGAACUCGGCACAAUGGCCCCGUAACUUCGGGAGAAGGGGUGCCCGCGCGUACGUGAACGGACUUGCUCCGGGAGCGGAGGCGGGCCGCAGUGGAGAGGCCCAAGCGACUGUUUACCAAAAACACAGGACUCUGCAGAAGCCGCAAGGCGACGUAUAGGGUCUGACGCCUGCCCGGUGCCGGAAGGUCACGCGGAGGAGUUAGCGCAUCGCGCGAAGCCCCGAAGCCAAGCCCCGGUAAACGGCGGCCGUAACUAUAACGGUCCUAAGGUAGCGAAAUUCCUUGUCGGGUAAGUUCCGACCUGCACGAAAGG
rnacentral:rRNA from 1 species